GACGGGUUUAAGGUAAGUCUUCUAAAUUUACUCUGGUUUUCACCAUUCGUUU
rnacentral:tRNA from 1 species